rnacentral:rRNA from 1 species
UACGAGGGGGGCAAGCGUUGUUCGGAAUUAUUGGGCGUAAAGGGUGCGUAGGCGGUCUGACAAGUCUGAUGUGAAAUCUAUGGGCUCAACCCAUAGUCUGCAUCAGAAACUGCCGGGCUUGAGUAUGGGAGAGGUGAGUGGAAUUUCCGGUGUAGCGGUGAAAUGCGUAGAUAUCGGAAGGAACACCUGUGGCGAAAGCGGCUCACUGGACCAUAACUGACGCUGAUGGCACGAAAGCUAGGGGAGCAAACAGG